GAAAGUAGAUGAAUUUAUAGCAGAUAUUAGAGAAGGAAAAACAUUUGGACCUAUCAGAGCAGGUCAGUAGUUUAUACGACCAUCACAAGCUUAUAUUAUUCUUUGCUGGUUUAACCUUAUUCUAAUAUUUCUUUUAACAGUUUUGUACACCGUUGAGUUCCAAAAGCGUGGCCUGCCUCAUAUACACUACCUUGUGUGGUCCCGUCCCUCACCUAACAAGAAAAUUGUCAGGAAGCUACUGCUUGAGGAUGACACUGCAAGCGAAGACAGUGGCCAUGAACAUGAUAGUCCAAAGCCUAGUUCUAGCGCUGAUGCUUAGGAGGAAGAAGGGGCGAAGCUCAUUUUGUAUUUGCACAGUUGCAAUCAUGCCUUGACAUGCAUCUGAUAAUCUGUUGCUUGAUGAUAUCUAUUUAGCCGUUUUAUAGCUUGUGCAAUCAGCAUUACUGAACUCUCUUUUGGAUAUCGCAUGA